CCUACGGGAUGCAGCAGUAGGGAAUCUUCCGCAAUGGGCGAAAGCCUGACGGAGCAACGCCGCGUGAGUGAUGAAGGUCUUCGGAUCGUAAAACUCUGUUAUCAGGGAAGAACAAAUGUGUAAGUAACUGUGCACAUCUUGACGGUACCUGAUCAGAAAGCCACGGCUAACUACGUGCCAGCAGCCGCGGUAAUACGUAGGUGGCAAGCGUUAUCCGGAAUUAUUGGGCGUAAAGCGCGCGUAGGCGGUUUUUUAAGUCUGAUGUGAAAGCCCACGGCUCAACCGUGGAGGGUCAUUGGAAACUGGAAAACUUGAGUGCAGAAGAGGAAAGUGGAAUUCCAUGUGUAGCGGUGAAAUGCGCAGAGAUAUGGAGGAACACCAGUGGCGAAGGCGACUUUCUGGUCUGUAACUGACGCUGAUGUGCGAAAGCGUGGGGAUCAAACAGGAUUAGAUACCCGCGUAGUC
rnacentral:rRNA from 1 species